rnacentral:rRNA from 1 species
UACGGAGGGUGCAAGCGUUAUCCGGAAUCACUGGGUUUAAAGGGUGCGUAGGCGGCUUAGUAAGUCAGUGGUGAAAGGCUGUGGCUUAACCAUGGAAUUGCCAUUGAUACUGCUGAGCUUGAAUAAGGUUGAGGUUGGCGGAAUGUGACAUGUAGCGGUGAAAUGCUUAGAUAUGUCAUGGAACACCGAUUGCGAAGGCAGCUGACUGGACCUGCAUUGACGCUGAGGCACGAAAGCGUGGGGAGCGAACAGG